GCUUAUGGUCAUUCCACCCUGAGCGAACCCAAUCUCAGAAACUAAGAGGGGUUGGGCAUGGUUAGUACUUGGAUUGAAAAAUCGCCUUGGAAUACCAGGUGCCGUAAGCU
rnacentral:rRNA from 1 species